rnacentral:lncRNA from 1 species
GAAACAACUAUCCACAAAAGACCAAAAUGACACAGACAUUAACUACUAUAGGUCACCGUACGGCCUUCAACAAUGAGUAAAGCCCAUACCGCAUAGUCAGCUACAAAAGGCCCCGAUAAGACAAUGUAAAACAAUUCAAACGAGAAAACUAACGGCCUUAUUUAUGUAAAAAAAAUGAACGAAAAACAAAUAUGUAACACAUAAACAAACGACA